AUUGAACGCUGGCGGCAUGCUUUACACAUGCAAGUCGAACGGCAGCGGGGGCUUCGGCCUGCCGGCGAGUGGCGAACGGGUGAGUAAUGCAUCGGAACGUGCCCAUGUCGUGGGGGAUAACGUAGCGAAAGCUACGCUAAUACCGCAUACGUCCUGAGGGAGAAAGCGGGGGGAUCUUAGGACCUCGCGCGAUUGGAGCGGCCGAUGUCGGAUUAGCUAGUAGGUGGGGUAAAGGCCCACCUAGGCGACGAUCCGUAGCGGGUCUGAGAGGAUGAUCCGCCACACUGGGACUGAGACACGGCCCAGACUCCUACGGGAGGCAGCAGUGGGGAAUUUUGGACAAUGGGCGCAAGCCUGAUCCAGCCAUGCCGCGUGAGUGAAGAAGGCCUUCGGUUGGUUAAAGGCUCUUUCGGUCCGGGAAGGAAAUACGUGGUCUCUAACAUAGGUCAUGGAUGACGGUACCGGACUAAGAAG
rnacentral:rRNA from 1 species